rnacentral:rRNA from 1 species
CCGCACAAGCGGAGGAGCAUGUGGUUUAAUUCGAUGAUACGCGAGGAACCUUACCCGGACUCAAAUGCGGCCCGACAGGGGCAGAGAUGCCCCCUCCCUACGGGGCGGGUCACAAGGUGCUGCAUGGUUGUCGUCAGCUCGUGCCGUGAGGUGUCAGGUUAAGUCCUAUAACGAGCGCAACCCCUACGUCCAGUUGCCAGCGGGUUAGGCCGGGGACUCUGGACGGACUGCCGGCGCAAGCCGAGAGGAAGGCGGGGAUGACGUCAAAUCAGCACGGCCCUUACGUCCGGGGCGACACACGUGCUACAAUGGCCGGUACAGAGGGCAGCCACCCCGCGAGGGGGAGCGAAUCUCGAAAGCCGGUCUCAGUUCGGAUCGGAGUCUGCAACCCGACUCCGUGAAGUUGGAUUCGCUAGUAAUCGCGCAUCAGCCAUGGCGCGGUGAAUACGUUCCCGGGCAUUGUACACACCGCCCGUCAAGCCAUGAAAGUCCGUGGUACCUGAAGUCCGUGACCGCGAGGGGCGGCGUAGGGUAAAACGGGUGAUUGGGGCUAAGUUGUA